GCACAGACCACCAAAGAGGCAACAUGUAAGCUGUCACACUGAGAAAGUUACCCAACAGCCCUGGAAAACCCUGGAGGAAAAUGGACCCGAGUCCCAGGACUGCACCUGAUUCCCCUCGCAGGUUCUGCCUCACCUCUUUAAGUUGUGGCCCAAAUCCUCAAGAGAGGACAAUGCAUGUGUUUCCAGAGGCAGACAGGAAAGCCUGCUUGAAGCUGGGAACAGCCGGUUCCCCUGAUUGCAAUGACGGCUCCUGACCAUGAAGACGAGGAGGAAGAACAAGCCAACCACAGGCGACACACCACCCCUGCUGCUGCUGCUACCUCCCAGUUGGACUAGAAUGUGACAGAAUUCCCCACAGCUUUGUUGUCUCUCUCCCCUACCCCACGCCUGGCGCUGGAAUCUUACAGACAUCUGGAAUUAUGAUGCGGUAAAUGCAGUAAAACACAGAUUUCUUUUUGUGAAAAUAUUCCGAUCUCAGACCCAAGAGGGCAGGGAUAUUGAGUAAUUGACAUCCUCGCCAUAAACAUAUUAUGGACAUUUAUAAACAUGGCCUAUCUCUUGGCUGCUUUAGGCUUCUGGUGUGCCUGGGAGAGCUUUGAUUUUUGAAAGGGCUUAGCUGAUAGGCAAGCUCUCCCUCUCCUCCGAUUUGCAUGAAGUCCUGUUUUAGCUAGCCUGGGACAAACCAAGGGACACCCCCCUCCAUUUUAUUUUCUUGAAAUAAAUAUCUAAAAAAGCAUUUCUGUGC